CCCUUCUCAGGGUCACAUCUGGAGAGUUUCCAGUACUCUAUCAGUCCCGAUGAGGAGAGGGAGAGUCAAGCAGAGGCAUUGCAUUCCUAGCCUGGGCAGUGGCUAGAGAGUGGAAGGCAAUCUGCUACAGUC